GGGGAAAAGAAAGCCCAACAACAAAGAGCCUUGUAGGAAGCCCAUAUUUAGCAGACAUGAUCUGGAAGAAGAUCCAUCAAUGAAGACUGAGAAGAGGCGGUCGGAGAGGACCUUCCUCUUUAAUUUCCAAAUAGAGUGGCACCCCAUAAAACCUGAUAUGGUUCCAUGCAAUUGGUAUAAUGCCAUCCGCAAAUUGUAUCAUCUUUAGAAAAGACCUUAUACAGGACACUUUUUUGAACAACAGAUGAUAUUUUGAUGAGGAAACUGAGGUAAAGAGGUCAAGAGUCUUGCCCAAGAACACAUAAGGAGAGGCAAAAUUAGAAUUUGUACCUAGAAUACAUUUGAACUCAGCCCCAUGACUCCAAAUUCAGCUUUUGUGAGAUUUUUCUAUUACCAAUAUCUUUCUCAUGAUUCCUAAUAUGUCCAUCAAUCUUGAAAUCCCAUGAUCUCAGAAGAAUUAAAGUUAUGAGUAAUUCAAAGGGCCCUAUUGUGAAUGUGAGUAAUGUUUUUCAAGCUAGGUAUCCCUUAUAAGGCUUUAGUUGAGGAUUUAUGUAACUAGAAAAGUAGAUGAGUAGGUCAUGUUUUUUGUUGUUCAAUCAUGUCCAGAUCUUUGCGAUCUCAUUUG